CAGCAGAGGCCACCGGAGUUCCGUCGCCGGAAUUUUGUGCCGGCGAAAGUCAGUGGUCCCAAUUUCAUAAGCGGCUCGUUCUAUUAAGUCAGCGAAAAUUCUCCGUUACAAGACUAGGUGAGCUGGUGCUGCUGCAUGACAUCAAGCAUAUGGGGGCUAGACUGUAGUUUGAAGUUAACUUUUGGUUUGAUCAUUAAUGAAUUUUAUAGAACAUUGUUACAUGGUUUGAGUUUGAAUAAAGAGGGGUCAUCUAUGAUUCCCGAGUUGUAAUUACAUUUUCUAUUCCGCUGCAAUUUGGUUUUGAGACAAUGAAUUUGAGUUACCGUAUUUCUAAUUA